UGUACGUCAGUUCUGUCUUAAAUUUAGAAUUUUAUCAGUCUUUGCUGGUUGAAGACAGGAACAGUAGAAGUGGAUUGGUCAAUACUUUUUAAUUCAAGCAAAACGGCGCAAUUGGCUGCAUAUCUUACCUUGGUACCAGAGUCCAUCUUGAGUUUACAUGAGUACAUCACAGCAGGACCCUGGUACCCAACACCACUCCACUGCUGGCAGAUGUCAACAUGCUAAAUGGACGGUCCUCCACAGACUGCCUCAGUGAGAACUCAGUCUGCGGCGGUCAAGAAGUUCAGAUCAGUCAGUACACAGUUGUGCAGGGGAACACUCAAGGAAGGACACAUGAGAAGCAAAGACCUCUAGGCAAGGGUCUCUUCUCACAGUGUUGGCACUGAAACAACUUCCUACCAUCCAGUUUUACCACUGACCUCAACACCAAUAAAGGGCCCAGGAUUGUGGCCUAUCAAGAGACCACGGGUGGAGUUGGAGUAGGAAGAAGAACAAGACAGUUCUACCUAACUCCUCUUGACCUGAGUUACGACCCUGGGCUUACAGAGCAAUCUGACAUAUCGGCACCCAGCAAAGUUUGGGAGCUACACUCUGAUGCACCUGGAGAGCAACACCAUUAUGGACCUCCAGCUUGUUCAGAGCAAUGGAGUAGGUGGUAGUUACCACAUGGAGAAGGAGGGACUUAAAAGAUGCCUUGAUCUUCAGGAAUCAAAACAUUUGGCGGUUGAGGACACCGUUACUGAUCAUCAUCCACAGAUACAGAAGUUUCUGAGAGAACGCGAGAUAAUACAGUUAUAUGACGUGUGGCAAAAAGGUCUGUCCAAGAAACUUAAAAGAGUUUCACAGACCAGGGACUGUGAGGUGUUGAAGAG